GACGAACGCUGGCGGCGUGCUUAACACAUGCAAGUCGAACGGAAAGGCCCUGCUUUUGUGGGGUGCUCGAGUGGCGAACGGGUGAGUAACACGUGAGUAACCUGCCCUUGACUUUGAGAUAACUUCAGGAAACUGGGGCUAAUACCGGAUAGGAGCUCCUGCUGCAUGGUGGGGGUUGGAAAGUUUCGGCGGUUGGGGAUGGACUCGCGGCUUAUCAGCUUGUUGGUGGGGUAGUGGCUUACCAAGGCUUUGACGGGUAGCCGGCCUGAGAGGGUGACCGGCCACAUUGGGACUGAGAUACGGCCCAGACUCCUACGGGAGGCAGCAGUGGGGAAUAUUGCACAAUGGGCGGAAGCCUGAUGCAGCAACGCCGCGUGCGGGAUGACGGCCUUCGGGUUGUAAACCGCUUUCGCCUGUGACGAAGCGUGAGUGACGGUAAUGGGUAAAGAAGCACCGGCUAACUACGUG
rnacentral:rRNA from 1 species